AGCGAUAUAUCUGACAAAAGAAUUACUUUUAUAGAGUAAAUAAUAGAGGUUAAAAUCCUCUUAUUUCUA
rfam:Chlorocebus sabaeus isolate 1994-021 chromosome 11, whole genome shotgun sequence.